rnacentral:rRNA from 1 species
UACGUAGGAUGCAAGCGUUGUUCGGAAUUACUGGGCGUAAAGGGCGCGUAGGCGGACAGUUUAGUCAGAGGUGAAAGCCCAGGGCUCAACCUUGGAAUUGCCUUUGAUACUGGCUGUCUUGAGUUCGGGAGAGGUGAGUGGAAUGCCGAGUGUAGAGGUGAAAUUCGUAGAUAUUCGGCGGAACACCAGUGGCGAAGGCGACUCACUGGCCCGAUACUGACGCUGAGGCGCGAAAGCGUGGGGAGCAAACAGG